rnacentral:rRNA from 1 species
AGUCACUGACAUUAGAUACCCCUGUAGUCCCAGCCCUAAACGAUGCGCGUUAGGUGUAUCGGUGACCACGAGUCACCGAGGUGCCGAAGGGAAACCGUGAAACGUGCCGCCUGGGAAGUACGGUCGCAAGGCUGAAACUUAAAGGAAUUGGCGGGGAGCACCACAAGAGGUGGAGGCUGCGGUUCAAUUGGACUCAACGCCGGGAAGCUCACCGGAUAAGACAGCGGAAUGAUUGCCGGGCUGAAGACCCUGCCUGACCAGCUG